rnacentral:rRNA from 1 species
GACGAACGCUGGCGGCGUGCCUAAUACAUGCAAGUUGAGCGAUGAAGCUUGGUGCUUGCACCAAUUUGGAGAGCCGCGCACGGGUGAGUAACGCGUGGGGAAUCUGCUUUUGAGCGGGGGACAACAUUUGGAAACGAAUGCUUAUACCGCAUAACAACUUUAUACAUAAGUUUUAAGUUUGAAAGAUGCCAUUGCAUCACUCAAAGAUGGUCUCGCGUUGUAUUAGCUAGUUGGUGAGGUAAAGGCUCUCCAAGGCGAUGAUACAUAGCCGACCUGAGAGGGUGAUCGGCCGCAUUGGGACGGUGACCCGGCCCAAACGCCCACAGGAGGCAGCAGGAGGGAAUCGUCGGCAAGGGACGAAAGACUGACCGAGCUACGCCGCGGGAGGGUAGAAGGUUUUCGGGUCGGAAAACUCGGUUGUUAGAGAAGAACGUGGGUUAGAGUGGAAAGCUCAGCAAGUGACGGUAACUACCCAGAAAGGGACGGCUAACUACGUG